rnacentral:rRNA from 1 species
UACGUAGGGUGCAAGCGUUGGUCCGGAAUUAUUGGGCGUAAAGAGCUCGUAGGCGGUUUGUCGCGUCUGCUGUGAAAACUCGGGGCUUAACUCCGGGCCGUGCAGUGGGUACGGGCAGACUAGAGUGCGGUAGGGGAGACUGGAAUUCCUGUGUAGCGGUGAAAUGCGCAGAUAUCAGGAGGAACACCGGUGGCGAAGGCGGGUCUCUGGGCCGAUACUGACGCUGAGGAGCGAAAGCGUGGGGAGCGAACAGG